AUUUCAUUUUUAUUGGGAAUGUAACAGUGUACUGAUAGUUGAUUUUAUUUUCCCAAUAUUGUUUAAUUGGUUAUCAGUUUAUAAGAUCAAAUUUUGGCUUGAUCUUUAUACAUGAUUUCAUAAUUAAAUG